rnacentral:lncRNA from 1 species
ACAUGCCUGGCUAGAGGGCGGCAGCAGGAAAGCAGAGAAGGCAUCCCUGCAGGUUGGCCCUGGAGCAGAGUGCUGGGUCCCAGCAAGGGACAAGUUAGUUAACUUAAAGUGGGGGCAUCCUCAAGGCAGUAAACUGGAGCCAAGUGGGUUAAAUCCUUCUUGCUGCUAUUAAGAGGAGGAGACAGGUUUCUGCAGAUUCUACAUUUUGGAGAGAAACAAAAAAGAAUGUCCCCAAGUCUCCUUUGCCCUGCGAUGCUGGGCCAGAUUGGCAAGGUCUCAAGAGAAGCACAACGGUGACCGACGCUGACGCUGCCCUUGGCUGAACUUCUGUUAAAUCCUUCGGAUAGACGCUGGAAUCCACUUUGGUCUGUGGUUCGACACCCGUGCAACGUGUUGAGGAGGAGCCACCUCCUCCAAGUACCGAAAGCCGGCCCAGAAAUGCCUUCCAAUCCCUCGGUAUCGCGGCUCCCGGGAUCCGAUGCUGGGGAGCUGCUUCUGUCCAAUCAGGCUUUGCAUCCCGGGACGCUUCCGGUUAUGGCGUCAUUACGCAGCCUGUGGCGUCUCAUUCUAAAAGACGUGAUCGCGCGGAGGCUUGUGUGGUUCCCCGUUGGCCUAAUGGAUACAGCGUUGGACUUUUUUAGGGUUUGGGCUCUGGGUUCGAACCACGUUUGUGGUGGCGUAGCCUAGCUGCAGAAAGCUGAUCUUUUGAGAUCCAUUUUAAUAGAAGUAAUUUUUUUAAAAAAAGUUAUAACGUAAAAAACA